rnacentral:rRNA from 1 species
CUCGUAGGCGGCCUGUCGCGUCGGCUGUGAAAUCCCGGGGCUCAACCCCGGGCCUGCAGUCGAUACGGGCAGGCUAGAGUCCGGUAGGGGAGACUGGAAUUCCUGGUGUAGCGGUGAAAUGCGCAGAUAUCAGGAGGAACACCGGUGGCGAAGGCGGGUCUCUGGGCCGGAACUGACGCUAAGGAGCGAAAGCGUGGGGAGCGAACA